rnacentral:RNase_P_RNA from 1 species
GGAGCGGGAGGGGAGGAAAGUCCGGGCAACAAAGGGCACCGCGCUUCCUAACGGGAAGAUCUUCGUGAGGGGAUAGCCGCGUAACAGAAAACAACCGCCGCUCGUUCAGAACGGUAAGGGUGAAAAGGCGGGGUAAGAGCCCACCGCGACCAUGGUGACAUGUGCCGGCCGUACGUCUCGCGGGUUGCAAGACCAUGUAUACCGACAGUUUUAAGGACGGCCCGUCCGAUGUCGGGGGGUAGGUUGCUGAUGAGCCGGCGGGUGACCGUCGACCUAGAUAAAUGACAGAGGCCUCGAUUCGAGGUACAGAACCCGGCUUACACGCCCUG